rnacentral:rRNA from 1 species
CAGUGGGGAAUUUUGGACAAUGGGCGCAAGCCUGAUCCAGCCAUGCCGCGUGAGUGAAGAAGGCCUUCGGGUUGUAAAGCUCUUUCGGUGAAGACGAAACGGUUCAUGCUAAUAACGUGAACUAAUGACGGUACUCACAGAAGAAGCACCGGCUAACUACGUGCCAGCAGCCGCGGUAAUACGUAGGGUGCAGGCGUUAAUCGGAAUUACUGGGCGUAAAGCGUGCGCAGGCGGUUUGCUAAGACAGGUGUGAAAUCCCCGGGCUUAACCUGGGAAUUGCGCUUGUAACUGGCAAGCUAGAGUGUGGCAGAGGGGGGUGGAAUUCCACGUGUAGCGGUGAAAUGCGUAGAUAUGUGGAGGAACACCGAUGGCGAAGGCAGCCCCCUGGGUUAACACUGACGCUCAUGCACGAAAGCGUGGGGAGCAAACAGGAUUAGAUACCCUGGUAGUCCACGCCCUAAACUAUGUCAACUAGUUGUCGGGGAAGAAAUUCCUUGGUAACGAAGCUAACGCGUGAAGUUGACCGCCUGGGGAGUACGGCCGCAAGGUUAAAACUCAAAGGAAUUGACGGAAGCCGAAUU